AUUGAACGCUGGCGGCAGGCCUAACACAUGCAAGUCGAGCGGAUGAGUGGAGCUUGCUCCAUGAUUCAGCGGCGGACGGGUGAGUAAGGCCUAGGAAUCUGCCUGUUAGCGUGGGACAACGUGUCGAAAGGAACGCUAAUACCGCAUACGUCCUACGGGAGAAAGGGGGGGAUCUUCGGACCUUACGCUAUUACAUGAGCCUAGGUCGGAUUAGCUAGUUGGUGAGGUAAAGGCUCACCAAGGCGACGAUCCGUAACUGGUCUGAGAGGAUGAUCAGUCACACUGGAACUGAGACACGGUCCAGACUCCUACGGGAGGCAGCAGUGGGGAAUAUUGGACAAUGGGCGAAAGCCUGAUCCAGCCAUGCCGCGUGUGUGAAGAAGGUCUUCGGAUUGUAAAGCACUUUAAGUUGGGAGGAAGGGCAGUAAGUUAAUACCUUGCUGUUUUGACGUUACCAACAGAAUAAGCACCGGCUAACUUCGUG
rnacentral:rRNA from 1 species